AUUGAACGCUAGCGGCAGGCCUAAUACAUGCAAGUCGAACGAUAUUUUCCAGCUUGCUGGGAGAGAAAGUGGCGCACGGGUGCGUAACGCGUAUGCAACCUACCUUUAUCAGGGGGAUAGCCCGGAGAAAUCCGGAUUAAUACCGCAUAAAAUCACAGAACGGCAUUGUUCAAUGAUCAGACAUUUAUGGGAUAAGGAUGGGCAUGCGUGUCAUUAGCUAGUUGGCGGGGUAACGGCCCACCAAGGCGACGAUGACUAGGGGAUCUGAGAGGAUGGCCGCCCACACUGGUACUGAUACACGGACAAGGCUACUACGAGAGGCAGCAGUACGGAAUAUUGGUAAAUGGAGGCGACUCUGAACCAGCCAGGCCGCGUGCAGGAAGACUGCCCUAUGGGUUGUAAACUGCUUUUAUCCGGGAAUAAACCUCCGAUCGGGAUCGGAGCUGAAUGUACCGGAAGAAUAAGGAUCGGCUAACUCCGUGCCAGCCGCCGCCGUAA
rnacentral:rRNA from 1 species